AACUGGUAGAAAGGAGAGCCAUGCUCUAGAAAAGCGUAUUUGCAGCAGCAGCUUGGGGCAAGAGGCAUUCCUCUGCUACCUCCCUCGUCCUCAGGCCUGGGAUCUGCAUGGCAUGGUAUCAAUCCAUGCUUGGCUGUGACUGGUCUCCACAGCGCCACCGAAGCAGGAUCUGCAUCUUGUGCCUGGGUCAUCAAUCUCAACUCUCUCCUCUUUCCCAAUGUCCACUCACAGCAAGAACACACCACGUCUCAGGCCACGGAGUUCUCUGUGGGCCACCCAGGGCUCCAGGUGCAUCCGACGGGGGAGCAUACUCUCCACCUGGUGCAACUUCUCAGCAUCCUCCGGCAACAUCACAGAUACGAUCUGUGUUUUCCCUACACUGUGCCUGUGGAGUGAAGCACAGAGCCCUGCUGAGAAGGUCCCCUCGAGACCCUCGAAUAACUGAACCUACUGGAUGGGUCAAGUGGCGCCCAACGUGGGGCACGAGGUACGACCGCCCUCUGGACAAUGGAUUAAAGAGGUACCGCGCAGACAGUGAGACAGUGAGACAGUUCCCCGCCACUUCGCUUAAGUGUCGCGGACAUUGGGAGCUCACAAUCCAGUGUUGAAGAAGUCUCGCCAGGAAGUGAAACGGAAACUGCUGUGGAGGGAUGCUGCUUACUGGCUCCUCCACCAGGGUUGCCAGCACAGAGUCUCCCAAGGCUCCAUACAGACCUGAGCCCUGGGAUUCCAAGGCAGGCGCAGAAGACGCACUACCCCAGGCCUCCACCUGGAGGCGCUCAGGAGCUGCACUUCCUGUGGGCCGCUAUGGCCCCAACCAGGAAGGAUUCCCUUUGAGAUUUGGUUCACACAUCUGCAUCCCUUCGGACUGUCUGGACUCAAGUUGAGAUACUUCCCAAGUGGCAAGGGGCUCAGGACACCCCAGCAGAGGUCCUGAUCUCUUACAGCACGUAGGACUCUUGCUUGUGUGUCUUGCUGCUGCUGCUACAGUGAGACCCUGAGGCUAAAAAGGAGAGUGCAGGGGAGGUUAACUCCACCCAAAUG